rnacentral:rRNA from 1 species
UACAGAGGUCUCGAGCGUUGUUCGGAUUCAUUGGGCGUAAAGGGUGCGUAGGUGGCGCUGUAAGUCGGGUGUGAAAUCCUGAGGCUUAACCUCGGAACUGCAUUCGAUACUGCGGCGCUUGAGGACUGGAGAGGAGACUGGAAUUCAUGGUGUAGCAGUGAAAUGCGUAGAGAUCAUGAGGAAGACCAGUGGCGAAGGCGGGACUCUGGGCCGAUACUGACGCUGAGGAGCGAAAGCGUGGGGGAGCAAACAGG